rnacentral:rRNA from 1 species
AGGUAGUAUUAUUAUUUCUAAAAACCAAUAUAAAUUGGCGGCAUUUCAUCUUAUUAGAGGAACAUGUUAUUUAAUCGAUAAUACACGGUCAAUUUCACUUAUUUUAAAAUUUUAUAUACCUCCGUCCUCAAUUUUUUUUUAAUAUAUUUCUAUAACAAUAAUCUAAAAGGUUAGGUAAAGGUGUAAACAAUAUAUAAGAUUUAAAUGUGUUACUUUAAAGAUAAUUUAAGGAUUUUAAUUAAAAACUUAAAUGAAAUAGGAUUUAAAAGUAAAAUUAAUAUAAUAUACUUAUUUGAACAAGAAAAUAAAUGUGU